ACGGCCUGCAGUCCAAAGCGGUGGAGAUUGUGGCCCAGGAGAUGAUGACUGACUUACCCAGUACGUUUGAAGAGAAAAGUAUUAUUAAAGUGGUAUGUCAGAGAUUCUUUGUUUUAAAAAAUCAAAUUAAGGAAAUAGUAUUUUAAGUUCCAACCUGGCAUUUUAUUGUCAUUAGAUCUAGAAGAUAUUAUAAAAACUUGAUCUAGAAAGGUUCUCACUGUAGCCUGUUCUUAAGGGUUUGUGCAGGAAUUGGGCUUGGUACACUCCUGUAAUUGGGGCAUAGAAGGAGGAGGAUCAGGAAUUCAGGGGUAGCCUCAGCUACAUUGCUAACCAGAUGUUAUUUAGGUUAGAGCCAUGAGUAAGAUAUUUUAAUUCAUUAGACAUGCUGGUUCAGGGUUUUGGGGUGUUGUUGUUGUUUUGAGACAGGGUUUUUCCACAUAGCCCCGACUGUCCAGGAACUGUCUCUGUAGACCAGGCUAGCCUCAAAUUCUGAAAUCGUCAACUCUGCCUCCUGAAUGCUGGGAUUAAAGGGGUGGGCCCUUAUUGAAGAGAAAAUAAGAGUUCAGACCUAGUGAGUUGAACAAUUAAGGAUUCGCCCUUAGCCCACAGAAACAUUUGCAUGGUAAAGUACAGUUUAUAAAAUAGUUUUUACACAUGCUACAAAUUUCAAAUGCUCACAUAACUUAAUCAGUACUUUGGUGUGGACCUAAACUGUUCCCUAUAUGUUGCUGUAUCAGAGACUUAGUCCCUGCUUGAGCAAUGUUUUGAGGUGGAGUCUUUGGGAGGUGAUUGCUUCAUGGGGGCUCUGACCUAAUCAAAGUACUAAGGCAUUGAUGGAUUCAUAGCUCAGUGGGUUUUAGGGCAGAGGUGUUGUUGAAAAAGCUAGCACUCUGUCUGCUUCCUGGCCUUCAUGAGGUGAACAGCCUUGUAAAACCAUGAAGCAGACUAAGUUUUUCCAGUGGGCAAGGUUGCAUACACCUGUAACCUCAGCACUUGAGAGGUAAGGCAGGAAGAACAAGAGCACCAGGUCAUCCUUAGCUACACAGUGGAUUUGGGGCUAGCCUGGGCUACACGAAAUCCUGUCUAAAACACAGCAAAACAAAGCUUUCCUGUUCUUCAGUUGUUUUCUUAGGUAUUUUGUCCCUUUAGUGGGACAUUGACCAGCAAAGCCAAGACCGUGAAAUUGGGUUAUAGUGUACAGACUAUACUCAGAUUGCCUCACAGCACACUUUAUAGUAUGUUUGCCUUAUUCCUUGAUUAAAAAUCAAACAUAGCCUGUGCAAAAAUGGUUUGAAUCACAUAUGAUCUUCUAAAACAGGUUACAUAUUUUCCUGUAGAAAUUGCCCCAUUAUUUUUCACUGUGUCUGUCUCAUAAUGAAAAUCCUCUUCAACUAGUACAACUGCAAUACUAUGACCUCAUCAGUACAACUGUACACUAUGAUCUCAUCACCACAGCUAUAUACUAUGACCUCAUCAGUACAAUUGUACGCUGUGACCUCAUCAGUACAGAUAUACACUAUGAUCUCAUUACUACAGAUGUACACUGUGAUUUCAUAAUAGUUUAAGAAGAAUCUCAGAUUCUAAGUCCUUUUUCAAUAUCUUAUUUAAACACUUAUAGUUUAUAGUAUAAAAUUCGAGAUGUACAUUUUUUAUAUUUUAUUGAUUUUUUUUAUAUAAUGCAGAAUCAGCUGAGAUUUCAAUAUAUGUGACAUUUUGAGCUUUUAAUGUUAUGCAUGUAUUACUCUCUUAAAAUCCUGGUCUAAAAGGCCAAAUGUUGCUGCCCUUAUUUACCUGGAUGCAGGUUGGCUAUGAUAUGAGUAAAGAAGCUGCCAGGAGAUGCUAUGAGAAGUCCGGCCUGACACCCAACGAUGUCGACGUGAUAGAGCUUCACGAUUGCUUCUCUGUCAAUGAACUCAUCACUUACGAAGCACUGGGGCUCUGUCCAGAAGGUAGUGUCUUUGAAGGGGCCCUGUGCAAGUCCCAUUGAGAAGGCUUCACUUUCUUUUCUUUUUUUAAAAAAAAAAAGAUUUACUUAUUUAAUGCAUGUGAGUACACUGUAGCUGUCUUCAGACACAGCACAAGAGGGAAUUUGGAUCUCAUUACAGAUGGUUGUGAGCCACCAUGUGGUUGCUGGGAAUCGAACUUAGGACCUCUUGAAGAGCAAUCAGUGCUUUUAGCCACUGAGCCAUCUCUCCAGCCCAUUUGCUUCCAUCAUUAAACAAUACAAGUCACUAACUGCCUUUCCCUGCACGUUGACUCUGCCACACUGUGCAAACCAGAUGUAAGAAGUUUUGCUCGGAGAGUUUUUAGAACAUCCAGCCUUGGACAACACAAACACUGGCAUAACAGAGUAUGUUCUUAAUUUACAUUAUGCAAAUCAGUACUUAGAAUGUAUGGUUACGCUUUAAAGAGGAUUUAUUAGGCCUGUGAUCCCAAGUAUUUUUAAAAUUGUGUUUAAAUAGAUGGGCAGCAAGAAAAACAGAAAACUAGUUGGUGAGUUUGAAGGGUUCCUUUCCAUUUCUAAAGCAUGCCAUGUUCCUAAGAGUGUGGACUUUGAGUUGCUUCGCCUCCUUGUCAGCACUUGAUGGUCAGUUGUGUACAUUUCAGGCAUGCUCAAGAGGAUGUAAUUGUAUCUUAGUCUUAAUUUUCAUAUUACCCAUGGUUGAUGAUAUUGAAAAAAAAUUUUUGUGAGCUAAUUGGUCAUUUAUGUUUCUUCAUUUUU
rnacentral:lncRNA from 1 species